AAGGAAUAUCACAGUAGCAUCUGCCUUCCAACUAAGAGUAAGAGCCACCGGUUUUACCUCACGUCCUUCACGGCCCCCACCAAGUGUCACCAGUGCACGUCUCUGAUGGUGGGUUUGGUAAGGCAAGGCUGUGCCUGCGACGCCUGUGGGUUCUCAUGUCACGCAA